CCUACGGGUGGCAGCAGUGGGGAAUGUUGCACAAUGGGCGCAAGCCUGAUGCAGCCAUGCCGCGUGUGUGAAGAAGGCCUUCGGGUUGUAAAGCACUUUCAGCGGGGAGGAAGGCGUUAAGGUUAAUAACCUUGGCGAUUGACGUUACCCGCAGAAGAAGCACCGGCUAACUCCGUGCCAGCAGCCGCGGUAAUACGGAGGGUGCAAGCGUUAAUCGGAAUUACUGGGCGUAAAGCGCACGCAGGCGGUCUGUCAAGUCGGAUGUGAAAUCCCCGGGCUCAACCUGGGAACUGCAUUCGAAACUGGCAGGCUAGAGUCUUGUAGAGGGGGGUAGAAUUCCAGGUGUAGCGGUGAAAUGCGUAGAGAUCUGGAGGAAUACCGGUGGCGAAGGCGGCCCCCUGGACAAAGACUGACGCUCAGGUGCGAAAGCGUGGGGAGCAAACAGGAUUAGAUACCCUUGUAGUC
rnacentral:rRNA from 1 species